ensembl:snRNA U1 U1 spliceosomal RNA
GACCGUAGGUGGUGGGUCGUUUUCCACGCUUCUUUUGUUGUACAGCACCAGGUGAAAAGACUGUAGUAGGUUUCCUUUGUGUGGUUGUGCUGACCCCUGUGAAUUCCCCACAUGCGGGAAUCUCAACUGCAUAAUUUGUGGUAGUGGGGGACUGCGUUCGUGCUCUCCCCUC